rnacentral:rRNA from 1 species
AGAGUUUGAUCAUGGCUCAGAGCGAACGCUGGCGGCAGGCUUAACACAUGCAAGUCGAGCGCCCCGCAAGGGGAGCGGCAGACGGGAGAGUAACACGUGGGAACGUACCCUUCGGUUCGGAAUAACCCAGGGAAACUUGGGCUAAUACCGGAUACGUCCGUAAGGAGAAAGAUUUAUUGCCGAAGGAUCGGCCCGCGCCC